rnacentral:rRNA from 1 species
AUACGGAGGGUGCAAGCGUUGUUCGGAAUUAUUGGGCGUAAAGCGCGUGUAGGCAGUCUGUUAAGUCUGGUGUGAAAGCCCUGGGCUCAACCCAGGAAGUGCAUUGGAUACUGGCAGACUUGAGUAUGGGAGAGGAAAGCGGAAUUCCGAGUGUAGGAGUGAAAUCCGUAGAUAUUCGGAGGAACACCAGUGGCGAAGGCGGCUUUCUGGACCAAUACUGACGCUGAGACGCGAAAGCGUGGGGAGCAAACAGGAUUAGAUACCCUUGUAGUCC